AACGAACGCUGGCGGCAGGCUUAACACAUGCAAGUCGAACGCUCGUAGCAAUACGGGAGUGGCGGACGGGUGAGUAACGCGUGGGAACGUGCCCUGAGGUACGGAAUAACUGCGGGAAACUGCAGCUAAUACCGUAUGAGCCCCUAACGGGGGAAAGAUUUAUCGCCUUGGGAGCGGCCCGCGUCGGAUUAGCUAGUUGGUGGGGUAACGGCCUACCAAGACUUCGAUCCGUAGCUGGUCUGAGAGGACGAUCAGCCACACUGGGACUGAGACACGGCCCAGACUCCUACGGGAGGCAGCAGUGGGGAAUCUUGCGCAAUGGGGGCAACCCUGACGCAGCCAUGCCGCGUGAAUGAUGAAGGCCUUAGGGUUGUAAAGUUCUUUUGCCCGUGACGAUGAUGACGGUAACGGGAGAAUAAGCUCCGGCUAACUUCGUG
rnacentral:rRNA from 1 species